rnacentral:lncRNA from 1 species
CCUAUUUUCGGCCAACGGUGAGUCCAUGCUCUCAUAUGGUUAAUUUUGAUGUUCUUCCUCAAAUCUUUCGAGUUUUAAUAAGUUUUAUCUUGGUUUGAAGCUAUUUGAGCAAAAAAGAGUGAAGUUGGUAACUUGGAGACCCCAGGAGCUCGAUCUCUCCCAUCUCCGAGUUGGAUCGCCUCUCGUCUCGAUCUUCAAGAGGUAAGAGUAGAUCCUUAGCUCAUUUCAUGUUUUAAACAAGUUUUAUGAAAGUUUGUGGGGUAGAAAUGCAUGUUUAGGUUAAUGUUGAGUUUUUGGUUAAUGUUGAGUAUAUGGACAAUGUAUGUUGUAUAUGUAUGUUUGAUGUGUUUUGGUUGGGGUUUAGGCUAGUUUGAGACCCCUAUGAGCUUAUGUAUGUGUGUAUGCAUGUUUUGGAAGUGUUGGUUUUGAGUUGGAAUGGUUUGGGAGGCAAAUGUGCAUUGUGGAGGCUGAGUUCUGCCCUUUGGAAGAACUCAGGUUCGGCAGCCGAAGGGACUUUUGGCCGCCGAACCUGCCUGUGGAGGCAAGCCUUUGGCUGCCGAACCCUGCCCCCGAAAGUGGACUUUCGGCUCUGGAAGGGAGUUUCGGCCGCCGAAGGUGCCGCCGAACAUGCUUGAGUUUCGUCUCUGGAAGGAACCUUCGGCCGCCGAAAGUGCCGCCGAAGGUGCAUGACUUUCGGCUCUGGAGGGACUUUCGGCCGCCGAGCCUGCCACCGAAAGUGCCCUAUUCAGCCUUCCUUUGCAUGAUUUAUGUGAUUGUUUUAAGGUGUUUUAUGGGGUUUUUGGGGAGUAUUUUAGAGUCAUGUUCAUGUAUGUUUGGUCCCUCAUUUGAGUCCACCUGUGUAGGUUCGGACCCGAGGAACCGAGGAUCCCAGCAGUGAGGCAGCUGCUUUAGUGUCUUGUCAGAGCUAGCCUGAGGUGAGUAGAAUGACUCUUUAUGUUUUAAAGUAAAUAAUGAAAGUUUUAGCAUGAUUCACGCAUCAUGAAUGCCAUGAGAUAUAUUUGGAUGCUUGCAUUAGAACUCUCGAAUAUGUUGCAUUGCAUAUUAUGUUGUUGAUGUGGAUGAAUGUUGGAUGAUCCUCUAGCCCGCACUAUGAUAUGAUAUGAUAUGAGACAGUGAUGAUACGGUAUGGAAGACCAGUGAGGCCCAUUCUACGCCCCUGGCACUAUGUAAGAGAAAGACCAGUGAGGCCCAUUCUACGCCCCUGGCAUGUUGGAAUGUUAUGUUAGGUUAAUGUAAGAGAAAGACUAGUGAGGCCCAUUCUACGCCCCUGGCACUAUUGGAAUGUGUAGUGGGCUAUUGGUGACAAGUUCAUCCUUGAUGUGAUUUGUCUGUGAUAUGAUGCAUUCCAUAAUAGCAUAUGUUUUAAAUAUUUUAUUAUUCUGCUCACUGGGCUCUAGUAGCUCACCCCAUUUCCCUUAAUCCCCCAGGUUUGCAGGUAUGGGCUAGUCCAGGAGGUCAGCAGGAUUAGAAGCGUUUUAUGUAAUAGUUAGUUGUGGACAUGAGAAUAUUGUGAUGUAAUGUAUUGAAUAGUCAUGUAAUGUUAAGAAUUAUAUUGAG